AUGUCAAGCGACGACAACGUGCCCAUGGACGACGCCAACGCCGACGCCGGCGAGGUCCUCGACGCCAUCGCCUCCGGCGCGCAGCGCCACCCCACCGCCGAGAGCGCCCUGGCCUCCGAUGCGCAGCACCACCCCGCCGCCGAGAGCGCCCUGGCAUCCGACGCGCGCCACCACCUCGCUGCCGAGAGCGCCCUGGCCUCCGACGCGCACCACCACCUCGCCACCGAGAGCGCCCUGGCCUCCGACACCCAGCAGCACCCGGCCGCCGUCGCUGCGCCAGCCCAGGAAGCGGUGCCGCCCGAGCUCCACCACCAGCUCAUGGGCCUGCGCGGGGAUGACGCCGCGGGGAGUUUCCUGGCCGCCGUGGUGAAGAGGGCCGAGGACGCCAUCGCCGACGAGUACGACGCGAGGGCGAGGCUCCUGGAGGCUAGGUGCGAGGAGGCGGCCACGGCGGUGCGGGCGGCGGAGCAGGACAUUAGCUGCCUCAACGACGAGCUCGCCGAGCUGAGGAUCAUAUCUGAGGAGAUCAUACCAGAGUUGAACUGUGAGGAUCCGGAGGAGCAGAAUCAGAGGCUCAGGGCGUUACUGGACGCCACGACCAAAGAGCUCGAGUGGAAGAUGGACAAGAUUGCAGAAUUGCAGGAGCUGGAGAAGGAUAAUGGUCCCACACAUGGUGCUUUGGAGGUCAACACACUGGACAUGACAGGUGGAGAGAACAAGCUGCCUGUGCUGCAUGAGAUGGAGAAGGGUGCUUUGGAGAUCAACACAUCGGAACUGGGAGAUGGAGAAUGCAAGGUGGCUGAUCAUGCUCUCAUGCUGCAUGAAAACCACAAGCAAGAGAUGGAGGCUAUUCAUGCCAAGAUAAUUCAACUUGAGAGGCAACUGGAGCAAAGGGAUAAAGCCCUAGUGCUCAUCGCACGGCAGCUGAACAUGAAACUACAAGCAGGGGAGAAGGUCCCAGAGGAAGACCAUCAACGUCUUUAUGCAGUAAUGACGUAUGUGAGAAAUAUUGUGGAUGAGGAAGGGAAAAGGAUGAAAGUUCCAUUGCUAGACCUCUUCAAAAGAGAGCAGGCUAACAGCAAAGAGCUCCAAGAGAAUCGCCAAGAGUUGAUUCAGGGCUUUGAGAACAUGCCGAUUAGUGGGGGCGCCGUUGUUAGAAUCAAAAAGAUGGGCCAACUUGAUGAGAAUCCUUUUCGCGCCGCAUGCAAUUUGAAAUACAGGGACAAUGAUCCAGAGGGCAAAGCUGCAAGGUUGGUCUCGUAUUGGCAGGAGGAAAUACAGAAGCCAUCAUGGCGUCCGUUUACUAAUAUUCAGGUCGAUGAAGAAGAUAAGGGUGUUUUUGGACAAUUGCAGGAGGUUAUAGAUGACAAUGAUCCAAGACUAAGCAAGCUGCGGUUGGAUUAUGGCGACAGCGUCUGCAAUGCAGUGAAGGAUGCACUGAGAGAGCUCAACGAGUAUAGUCCUGACGAGCGGCGCAUCAUGAAUGAGGUCUGGAACUUCCGGGAAGGGCGGAAAGCAACGAUGACAGAGGUGAUCACCUGCAUUUUGGAGCAGCUGGCAGUGGCGGACCCAGGAUUGCGAGGACAGGAAUUCAAGGUUCCCCCCAAAAAAUGCUCAAAUUCAAUAUAA
rnacentral:rRNA from 1 species